GGCAUCGGAGUAUUAUUAAAUAUUUAUAGGAUAGAGAUGGGCUCGCGUGACAUUAGCUAGUUGGUAGGGUAACGGCUUACCAAGGCGACGAUGUCUAGGGGCUCUGAGAGGAGAAUCCCCCACACUGGUACUGAGACACGGACCAGACUCCUACGGGAGGCAGCAGUAAGGAAUAUUGGUCAAUGGGCGGAAGCCUGAACCAGCCAUGCCGCGUGCAGGAUGACUGCCCUAUGGGUUGUAAACUGCUUUUGUCCAGGAAUAAACCUAAAUACGUGUAUUUAGCUGAAUGUACUGGGAGAAUAAGGAUCGGCUAACUCCGUGCCAGCAGCCGCGGUAAUACGGAGGAUCCGAGCGUUAUCCGGAUUUAUUGGGUUUAAAGGGUGCGUAGGCGGCCUAUUAAGUCAGGGGUGAAAUACGGUGGCUCAACCAUCGCAGUGCCUUUGAUACUGAUGGGCUUGAAUCCAUUUGAAGUGGGCGGAAUAAGACAAGUAGCGGUGAAAUGCAUAGAUAUGUCUUAGAACUCCGAUUGCGAAGGCAGCUCACUAAGCUGGUAUUGACGCUGAUGCACGAAAGCGUGGGGAUCGAACAGGAUUAGAUACCCUGGUAGUCCACGCCCUAAACGAUGAUAACUCGAUGUUGGCGAUAGACAGCCAGCGUCCCAGCGAAAGCGUUAAGUUAUCCACCUGGGGAGUACGCCCGCAAGGGUGAACUCAAAGGAAUUGACGGGGGCCCGCACAAGCGGAGGAGCAUGUGGUUUAAUUCGAUGAUAC
rnacentral:rRNA from 1 species